rnacentral:rRNA from 1 species
AAAACGACUCUCGGCAACGGAUAUCUCGGCUCUCGCAUCGAUGAAGAACGUAGCGAAAUGCGAUACUUGGUGUGAAUUGCAGAAUCCCGUGAACCAUCGAGUUUUUGAACGCAAGUUGCGCCCGAAGCCCUCGGGCCAGGGCACGUCUGCCUGGGCGUCACGCA